AGUGAACGCUGGCGGUAGGCCUAACACAUGCAAGUCGAACGGCAGCACAGUAAGAGUUUGCUCUUUGCUGAGGCGAGGGGCGGACGGGUGAGGAAUACAUGGGAAUCUACUUUUUCGUGGGGGAUCACGUAGGGAAACUUACGCAAAUAGCAUAUACGCCCAACGGGAGAAAGCAGGAGAUCAUCGGAUCUUGCGAACGUGAAUGAGCCGAUGGGGGAUUAGCUAGUUGGCGGGGUAAGGGCCCACCAAGGCGACGAUCCGUAGCUGGUCUGAGAGGAUGAUCAGCCACACUGGAACUGAGACACGGUCCAGACUCCUACGGGAGGCAGCAGUGGGGAAUAUUGGACAAUGGGCGCAAGCCUGAUGCAGCCAUGCCGCGUGGGUGAAGAAGGCCUUCGGGUUGUAAAGUCCUUUUGUCGGGGAAGAAAAGAAGAAGGUUAAUACCUUGCCUCAUUGACGUUACCCGAAGAAUAAGCACCGGCUAACUUCGUG
rnacentral:rRNA from 1 species